UACGUAGGGGGCAAGCGUUGUCCGGAUUUAUUGGGCGUAAAGAGCGUGUAGGCGGCUUUGCAAGUCCGUUGUGAAAACUCGAGGCUCAACCUCGAGACGCCGGUGGAAACUGCAAAGCUAGAGUCCGGAAGAGGAGAGUGGAAUUCCUGGUGUAGCGGUGAAAUGCGCAGAUAUCAGGAAGAACACCCGUGGCGAAGGCGGCUCUCUGGGACGGUACUGACGCUGAGACGCGAAAGCGUGGGGAGCGAAACAGG
rnacentral:rRNA from 1 species